rnacentral:rRNA from 1 species
GCGCCUUCGGGUGAGCGCCGGACGGGUGAGUAACGCGUGGGAAUAUGCCCUUCUCUAAGGAAUAGCCUCUGGAAACGGAGAGUAAUACCUUAUACGCCCUUUGGGGGAAAGAUUUAUCGGAGAAGGAUUAGCCCGCGUUAGAUUAGGUAGUUGGUGGGGUAAUGGCCUACCAAGCCUACGAUCUAUAGCUGGUUUGAGAGGAUGAUCAGCCACACUGGGACUGAGACACGGCCCAGACUCCUACGGGAGGCAGCAGUAGGGAAUCUUAGACAAUGGGGGCAACCCUGAUCUAGCCAUGCCGCGUGUGUGAUGAAGGCCCUAGGGUCGUAAAGCACUUUCGCCAGAGAUGAUAAUGACAGUAUCUGGUAAAGAAACCCCGGCUAACUCCGUGCCAGCAGCCGCGGUAAUACGGAGGGGGUUAGCGUUGUUCGGAAUUACUGGGCGUAAAGCGCACGUAGGCGGAUUAGUAAGUUAGAGGUGAAAUCCCAGGGCUCAACCCUGGAACUGCCUUUAAUACUGCUAGUCUUGAGUUCGAGAGAGGUAAGUGGAAUUCCGAGUGUAGAGGUGAAAUUCGUAGAUAUUCGGAGGAACACCAGUGGCGAAGGCGGCUUACUGGCUCGAUACUGACGCUGAGGUGCGAAAGUGUGGGGAGCAAACAGGAUUAGAUACCCUGGUAGUCCACACCGUAAACGAUGAAUGCCAGACGUCAGCAAGUAUACUUGUUGGUGUCACACCUAACGGAUAAGCAUUCCGCCUGGGA